rnacentral:ncRNA from 2 species
GCCGGACCGCGCUUCCGGUACAUCGCCUCCCCGCCCGCGCAGGAUCCCUGCGGGCACCCUCCGUCCUCCGGCGAUGUAUCCCGUGACUGGGCGAGCAGACACGGCGCGCGGGCCGAUUUUCCGCCCCGGACGUCCCCGUCCGGGGCUUUUUGU